rnacentral:lncRNA from 1 species
GUUGUGAUAAAAACUAAAGGCUCUCAAGAGCCUGUGUCGCUCACCUGUUACUGUAUUUACUGAUGUCGGCCAUCUUGGUUGGCAGGCAGGGUCAUUGGACACUUUUUUAAAAUAGAUACCCUAGUAAUGAUUGUGGCCAAGUUUGGUUAACGGUGGCCCAUAGUUUUAGAAAAGAAGAUUUUUGUACAAGUUACAAAAAUGACGAAAAGUUGUUCAAUAUUGACUAUAAAGGACAAUAACUCCUUAAGGAGUUCUCUGACAAUUUUGGUCAUGUUUGACUUAUUUGUAGAUCUUACUUUGCUGAACAUUAUUGCUGAUUACAGUUUAUCUCUAUCUAUAAUAGUAUUCAUGAUAAUAACCAAAAACUGCAAAAUUUCCUUAAAAUUACCAAUUCAGGGGCAGCAACCCAACAACCAGUUGUCCGAUCCAUCUGAAAAUAUCAGGGCAGAUAGAUCUUGACCUGAUAAUCAAUUUUACCCCUGUCAGAUUUGCUCUAAAUGCUUUGGUUUUUGAGUUAUAAGCCAAAAACUGCAUUUUACCCCUGUGUUCUAUUUUUAGCCAUGGCGGCCAUCUUGGUUUGAUGGCCGGGUCAUCCUACACAUUUUUUUAACUAGAUACCCCAAAGAUGAUUUUUGCUAAGUUUGGUUAAAUUUGGCCCAGUAGUUUCAGAGGAGAAGAUUUUUGUAAAAGAUUACUAAGAUUUAUGAAAAAUGGUUAAAAAUUGACUAUAAAGGGCAAUAACUCCUCAAGGGGUCAACUGACCAUUUUAGUCAUAUUGACUUACUUGUAAAUCUUACUUUGCUGAACAUUACUGCUGUUUACAGUUUAUCUCUAUCUAUAAUGAUAAUCAAGAUAAUAACCAAAAACAGCAAAAUUUCCUUAAAAUUACCAAUUCAGGGGCAGCAACCUAACAACGGGUUGUCCGAUUCAUCUGAAAAUUUCAGGGCAGAUAGAUCUUGACCUGAUAAUCAAUUUUACCACACGUAGAUUUGCCCUAAAUGCUUUGGUUUUUGAGUUAUAAGCCAAAAACUGCAUUUUACCCCUAUGUUCUAUUUUUAGCCGUGGCGGCCAUCUUGGUUGGAUGGCCGGGUCAUCCUACACAUUUUUUUUAACUAGAUACCCCAAAGAUGAUUUUUGCUAAGUUUGGUUAAAUUUGGCCCAGUAGUUUCAGAGGAGAAGAUUUUUGUAAAAGAUUACUAAGAUUUAUGAAAAAUGGUUAAAAAUUGACUAUAAAGGGCAAUAACUCCUCAAGGGGUCAACUGAUCAUUUUAGUCAUAUUGACUUACUUGUAAAUCUUACUUUGCUGAACAUUACUGCUGUUUACAGUUUAUCUCUAUCUAUAAUGAUAUUCAAGAUAAUAACCAAAAACAGCAAAAUUUCCUUAAAAUUACCAAUUCAGGGGCAGCAACCCAACAAGGGGUUGUCCGAUUCAUCUGAAAAUUUCAGGGCAGAUAGAUCUUGACCUGAUAAUUAAUUUUACCACACGUAGAUUUGCUCUAAAUGCUUUGGUUUUUGAGUUAUAAGCCAAAAACUGCAUUUUACCCCUAUGUUCUAUUUUUAGCCGUGGCGGCCAUCUUGGUUGGUUGGCCGGGUUACCGGACACAAUUUUUUAACAAGAUACCCUAAAGAUGAUUUUUGCCAAGUUUGGUUAAAUUUGGCCCAGUAGUCUCAGAGAAGAUUUUUGUAAAAGAUAAUUAAGAUUUACGAAAAAUGGUUAAAAAUUGACUAUAAAGGGCAAUAACUCCUAAAGGGGUCAACUGACCAUUUCAGUCAUGUUGACUUAUUUGUAAAUCUUACUUUUCUGAACAUUAUUGCUGUUUACAGUUUAUCUCUAUCUACAAUGAUAUUCAAGAUAAUAACCAAAAACAGCAAAAUUUCCUUAAAAUUACCAAUUCAGGGGCAGCAACCCAACAACGGGUUGUCCGAUUCAUCUGACAAUUUCAGGGCAGAUAGAUCUUGACCUGAUAAUCAAUUUUACCCCUGUCAGAUUUGCUCUAAAUGCUUUGGUUUUUGAGUUAUAAGCCAAAAACUGCAUUUUACCCCUGUGUUCUAUUUUUAGCCAUGGCGGCCAUC